rnacentral:rRNA from 1 species
UGCGGGGGGGGCAAGCGUUGUUCGGAAUUACUGGGCGUAAAGGGCUCGUAGGUGGCCAACUAAGUCGGACGUGAAAUCCCUCAGCUUAACUGGGGAACUGCGUCCGAUACUGGAUGGCUUGAGUUUGGGAGAGGGAUGCGGAAUUCCAGGUGUAGCGGUGAAAUGCGUAGAUAUCUGGAGGAACACCGGUGGCGAAGGCGGCAUCCUGGACCAACACUGACACUGAGGAGCGAAAGCCAGGGGAGCAAACGGG